CAAGUUGAUAUCGACAGGCGUGAACAAAGUUGUGCGGUCCACUAUGAACAGUAUUGUCAACAUGUUGUUACAACAUUGUUCAACUGUAACAACUUGGAACAACAUGGUUGACAACUUGUUCAUAGUUGAACAACAUGGUUGACAACUUGUUCAUAGUUGGCCGCACAACAUUGUUCACGCCUGUCGAUAUCAACUUG